AUGGAUUCCCAUACUGUGGCCAGUCGAAAUUCUUUAUGCAAAUUGAAAAAUUUCAUUGAUGAAGACUGUGGCUCCUGGAUUGCAGCUGUUGGCACUGCUGAUACGGUCUUGCAUCAAGUUGUUCACCUCAUUCAGCACAACUGGCCGGACAGGCCUCUGGUUACAGAUGAGUUGUUGUCUACGGUUGUGAUUCUGGCUGCCUUACAGCAGAAUGUGCUUCAGCUCCUACAUCGGCGACAUUGAGGGUUCUUGGGUGCCAGGUUAUUGUGUUUCGACGGGGAAUCGAUGCUG